CCUACGGGUGGCAGCAGUGGGGAAUAUUGCGCAAUGGGCGAAAGCCUGACGCAGCGACGCCGCGUGAGGGAUGAAGGUCUUCGGAUCGUAAACCUCUGUCAGCAGGGAAGAACGGUCACUGUGCUAAUCAGCAGUGAAUUGACGGUACCUGCAAAGGAAGCACCGGCUAACUCCGUGCCAGCAGCCGCGGUAAUACGGAGGGUGCGAGCGUUAAUCGGAAUUACUUGGCGUAAAGCGCUCGUAGGCGGUAUGUCAAGUCAAGGGUGAAAUCACCGCGCUCAACGUGGGAACUGCCUUUGAAACUGGCAAACUGGAGUGUGUGAGAGGAUAGUGGAAGUCCAGGUGUAGGAGUGAAAUCCGUAGAUAUCUGGAGGAACAUCAGUGGCGAAGGCGACUAUCUGGCACAUAACUGACGCUGAGGAGCGAAAGCGUGGGUAGCAAACAGGAUUAGAUACCCUGUAGUC
rnacentral:rRNA from 1 species